GACUUGAUAGCUCAGUUGGUAGAGCACAUCACUCUUAAUGUUGGGGUCCUGGGUUCGAGCCCCAGUCGAGUCA
rnacentral:tRNA from 1 species